UCUUAUGGAUGGGCAAAGAAAGUAGUUUCUUGAGAUGGACACUACUCUUGGUGAAGAUACUAUGAA
rnacentral:pre_miRNA from 1 species